UCACCAUUGAUUUCUAUUCCUACCUUGCUGACUGGGCCCCCUUGUCAUCAUCAGAGCUCAGAUCCAUAUCCAUAGUGUCUUCUGCAGCAGGGGAAACUGUCUG